UGUCGCCGUCGAAGGUGCAGGCGCGCAGGCCGAGGUCGCCGGCGCGGUUGAGUUCGAGGAGUUCGGCGACCUGGUCCUGCGCCAGCGCCUUCGUCGGGAACA
rnacentral:pre_miRNA from 1 species